UCAGCCUCUGUCCCAGGUGAGGAGAAACCAUCCUUAUUUAGGACUGAGGGAUAGCAGAGGCCGGGCUCCCCUGGCAAAGGUGGGGGUCUGGAGGCAGUGGAGGGCCCAGGGACUCAGGACCAACCCCUUAGGGCAGCGUUGGGAGGCGGAGCACAGCUCUUCUGGAACCUUCUCCAGUCCUGAAUCCUGGGGCCUCCAUCUACCUGGGGCUAAGACCUCCCCCUACCUCAUCCCCUCAACCCGCCCGAUCCGGGUCCCCCCAUUCCAGGCUCGGAGCCACCAGGUGGCAAGCAGAAGCUUCCAGAUAAAGCCAUUCAAGAUGAGGCAGCAGCAGAAGCAGGUGAGAGAAGAUGGCAGGCCUUGCAGAAGCAGGGGAGAGAGGAGUGAGACCAGAGAACCAAAGAACCAGCAGGAGAGGACCCGGAGGAAGAGCAAAGCCAGAGCUAGCUCCGUCCUGGAGAGGGACGUGUGUGUCUGGGCGGGAGCGGGUGCAGAUGGUUGGAUCUUAAGUGUGUUCUGAACAAAGACCAACCAGACCCUCCAUCUUCUUGAAGCCCCAAGACCCCGCAUUCAUCCAUUAUUAAUGAGGGAGCUGCCUCUCUGUGGGCCACACAGAACAUUUUCCGGAUUCUUCCGGAAAGAAGAAGGUGAUGGAAACACCCAGAACACUCCCGGGAAGCAUCUGCAGUCAGAGAAUCACAGACGUGAUUCACAUUCAUUCACCGAUGUCAUGCAUGGGGAAACUGAGUCAGAGGGGGGCAGUGUCUUGUCUGAGCCCCCCACCUUGCCUGGGUUAGAGGUGUUUCAGGCACAAGUCUCUGCCCCACAUCUGGAAUCAGGAGUCUGGAUCUCUUGGAGGGCUCUUGCCCCAUCUCUGGGCUUGACCCAUCACUCCGUAAGCACAGAGAUCCUCGAGAAGUUGGAUGUGGCCAAGUAACAACUCCCCUCUCCCACUUACUCCAAAGAGAAAAUGAGACAAGGAGUGAGCAAGAACUACAGGGUCUAAAUAUACAUCAGGCUUUUUUUUUUUUUUCUUCUGUAUUUUUGAUGUUCUGACAUCUAGCCACCCUGCCGGUCUUGGAGAGACUGCCCUGCCCAGGACUGGCUAAUUCCUAGACACAGCAAACCAGUAGGAGUGUGCCUUUCAGAUGCAAACCAGCCAACCCAGUGCCUAUACCCACCUACCUCUCACUCAUGCCAUCCUGCCCAAUGUUCUCUCUGCCUUAAAUUGCCCCCAAGACAACGAGGGACCCCCUGUAGACUCCCAGCUCCCAGCUUCAAAGGAACCAACCCUUAACUCAAACUCGACUACCCAGCCUUGCUCAUUCUUUUCUGUGGAGACCACAAUAAAGGCUCUGGCCCAUGCUUUGCCCCUCUCGCCCUCUGCCUCCGGACCCACUCUGAUGCUUCCCCAUGUUGCCAAGCAUGGUGGGGCGUGCCCCCUCCCUUUGGGAACUGUGAGUAAUAAACUCUUCUUUCAAAGGCA